rnacentral:tRNA from 1 species
AAGGAUUUAAGUUAAAAAAACUAUUAACCUUCAAAGUUGAAAAUAUACUGAUUAAAUUUAUAAGCCUUA